UACGAAGGUCCCAAGCGUUGUCCGGAUUUAUUGGGCGUAAAGAGCGUGUAGGCGGCCAUACAGGUCCGUUGUGAAAACUGGAGGCUUAACCUCCAGACGUCGAUGGAAACCGUAUGGCUAGAGUCCGGAAGAGGAGAGUGGAAUUCCUGGUGUAGCGGUGAAAUGCGCAGAUAUCAGGAAGAACACCCGUGGCGAAGGCGGCUCUCUGGGACGGUACUGACGCUGAGACGCGAAAGCGUGGGGAGCGAACAGG
rnacentral:rRNA from 1 species